CUAGCGACUUCAGAGUUUGAUCCUGGCUCAGGAUGAACGCUAGCUACAGGCCUAACACGUGCAAGUCGAGGGGCAGCACUGAGGAAGCUUGCUUUCUCUGGUGGCGACCGGCGAAUGGGUGAGCAACGCGUAUCCAACCUGCCCUCCGCGCGGGGAUAGCCCUUGGAAAUGAGGAUUAACACCCGAUACGCCGUUUUCCCGCAUGGGUAUUCGGUGAAUCUUGCGGAGGAUGGGGAUACGUUGGAUUAGCUUGCUGGUGAGGUAACGGCUCACCAGGGCUCCGAUCCAUAGGGGUUCUGAGAGGAAGGUCCCCCACACUGGCACUGAGACACGGGCCAG
rnacentral:rRNA from 1 species